rnacentral:rRNA from 1 species
UGGGGAAUAUUGGACAAUGGGGGCAACCCUGAUCCAGCAAUUCUGUGUGCACGAAGAAGGUUUUCGGAUUGUAAAGUGCUUUCAGCAGGGAAGAAGAAAGUGACGGUACCUGCAGAAGAAGCGACGGCUAAAUACGUGCCAGCAGCCGCGGUAAUACGUAUGUCGCAAGCGUUAUCCGGAAUUAUUGGGCAUAAAGGGCAUCUAGGCGGCCCUGUAAGUCUAGGGUGAAAACCUGCGGCUCAACCGCAGGCCUGCCCCGGAAACUACAAGGCUAGAGUAUCGGAGAGGUGGACGGAACUGCACGAGUAGAGGUGAAAUUCGUAGAUAUGUGCAGGAAUGCCGAUGAUGAAGAUAGUUCACUGGACGGUAACUGACGCUGAAGUGCGAAAGCUAGGGGAGCAAACAGGAUUAGAUACCCUGGUAGUCCUAGCUGUAAACGAUGAUUACUGGGUGUGGGCAUGAAGAGUGUCCGUGCCGAAGCAAAUGCGAUAAGUAAUCCGCCUGGGGAGUACGGCCGCAAGGCUA